rnacentral:lncRNA from 1 species
UUUUUCACGCACGAACUUUUAAACCAUGCUAAAAAGCACAUGAACAACUCUAUUUUUUGAAUAACAUUACACAAACUAUCGAUUUUUAAACUAAUUCCCCUAAAACAGUAAAUUGUGUUAUUUAAAUGUUAACUAGGUUUGUGACAGGUGGAGAGACGAUUUAAUUUGGAUUGAUAAAUACUAUGUAGUUUUAUUCUUUUUCUCUUUUUUUGUUAACUGUUCUUCUUUUUC